rnacentral:misc_RNA from 1 species
AAGUCGUAACAAGGUUUCCGUAGGUGAACCUGCGGAAGGAUCAUUAAAGAAUUAGGCUUCGCGGCCAAGUUCUCACCCUUUGUCAUUAGCCGAAACCCAUGAUUCGCUUUGGCAUGGCCCCUUGGCAGUUUCCUCGGUCCUGGCCAGCAGGUUGAUAAACCACUAGAAUCUCUGCUGUCUGAGUACUAUGCAAUAGUUAAAA